GCCCUCUUAGCUCAGUGGUAGAGCGCAUCACUCGUACUGAUUCCUCUAGGAUUCAGCGGAAAUGAUGAGGUCGGUUGUUCAAUCCAGCCAGGGGGCA